rnacentral:pre_miRNA from 1 species
AGCCGUGAUUGUCCAAACGCAAUUCUUGUUUAUCUUUUAUUUGUAUCAAGAAUUGAGGUGGACAUUCGUUGAU